rnacentral:tRNA from 93 species
GGGGCUAUAGCUCAGCUGGGAGAGCGCCUCGCUGGCAGCGAGGAGGUCUGCGGUUCGAUCCCGCAUAGCUCCACCA